UGGGGAAUUGUUCACAAUGGGCGCAAGCCUGAUGACGCAACGCCGCGUGGGGGAUGAAGGUCUUCGGAUUGUAAACCCCUGUCGAAUGGGACGAAAGACUCGCGAGUUAAUACUUCGCGGGAGUGACGGUACCGUUAAAGGAAGCCACGGCUAACUCUGUGCCAGCAGCCGCGGUAAUACGUAGGGACCAAGCGUUGUUCGGAUUUACUGGGCGUAAAGGGCGCGUAGGCGGCAAUUCAAGUCAUCUGUGAAAUCUCCGGGCUUAACUCGGAACGGUCAGAUGAUACUGCUUUGCUAGAGUGCAGAAGGGGCAAUCGGAAUUCUUGGCGUAGCGGUGAAAUGCGUAGAUAUCAAGAGGAACACCUGAGGUGAAGACGGGUUGCUGGGCUGACACUGACGCUGAGGCGCGAAAGCCAGGGGAGCAAACGGGAUUAGAUACCCCUGUAGUCCCUGAGCGGGCUGGCAAGGCGCAU
rnacentral:rRNA from 1 species